CACGUUGUUUGAAAUAAACUUUAUUGACAAACAUAAACAAAAAUAUUUCAACUCUAUUUAAAACUUGUAAGAAAAUGCAUUUUACAAAAUGUUACACUAUGUCGUUUUACAAACAUGUAUAUUGUAAAAUGACACAGUCGUGGGGUAUAAAAUGACAUAUACUUAAAACAAGUGAUAACACAAAUAGAACUUAUAAAAUAUAGUUAAAGAAAGUAAGCUAAUAAGGAAUUAGUCUUCGCAAAUCUCGCAAAUAAACUUUUUGACUUUUGGAGAAACUCCAGCACAUUCGCAAUGUGCCCAUUUGUGGCACUUCAAACAACUAAUCCGAGACUCCUUGGAUCGAGAAUUUUUAUUACUUUAAUUAAUUUUUAUCGCAAUACAGGCAUGCCACUUCAUCCUCAUAAUCCUCGGCUGCAAAAGGAUCUUCUUCACUUUGGCUUCGUGCAACAAAACUUGUCUCACCUGAAAGGUUCUUUUUAAAUUGACGCACAUUUUUUCGCAAUUUCUUUUCUUCCUUUAGCUUUAACUCUUCUAAAUUGGGAGUAGUUGUUAAGACUCCGGUUAUAGUUUGUCUGGUCUUCCUUUUGUUUGGUUCCUCUUGCUACAGGCACUGGCGAAAUUUCCUGUAGAAAAAACCUUUUCCUUAAUGGUUGAUUUUAUUUUAUAUUGCUUUCUGUCUGACCACCUCUCGGUUCAUUUUCUUUAUCGACACUUUUGCCUUGUUUUUGUCGCAUUGCUUCCUCUGUAACACCAAUUACUAUUAUUUCAUUGCUUGUUGAUGGUUGUUCUGAGCGAUGGGAUGCUCCCUCUUCUAUGGUCGAUUCUAAUAAUCUAUUUGUUGUCUCAGCCGGCUCAAAAAACUCGUCUGGGAAAAUAUGUGGAUUAAAUGAAUAAAUUCCCAUAUUUAAAAAUGCGCUUGUGGCAUUUUUAAUUGUAGCUGCUUUCCCGUAAGCGGACGUAAACAGUUCACCAAUUUGAUGUAGUGUUAUUGCUCUCCCUGGAUGGUUUUUCAACCAAAGUGCACAUUCCUGGUUAUAAAAUGUCUUUAGUGGACCAUAGAAGCUGACAUUCAGGGGCUGCAUACGAUGGGUACAGUGGGCAGGAAAGCAUAAAGGGAUUAUUCCAUUUCUUCUGGCAAACGUCAAGGCAUUUAAUGAUUUGUGGCUAGUGUGCCCAUCCAGAAGUAAUAAUACUUUUGAGUCGGGAGAAGCUUUAACAAAAGUCUCAAAAUGCUUUAACCACAAAGCAAAGGAAUCAGAUGUCAUCCAUCCAGUGUAGUUAAAUAAUCCCAAAGAACCUGGAGGUAAAGCAUCUAAAAGUUCCUCCUUUCUAUUUUUCCUAGGGAAAAUCAAAGCAGGUGGCACAAAAUUACCUACACUAUUCAUGCAGCAAACACAUGUUACAUGCUGACCUCUUUCAGCACUGGUUAAUGAUCCUACUUGUUUUCUCCCAGUUUUGGCAAAAAUGUUUGAAGGCCUUUGCACUGUGGACAAACCACUUUCGUCCAUAUUGUAAAUCCGAUGCAUAUACAUUUUUUCUUUUUUUAGGGUAUUUUCCAACGUAUUAAAAAAAAUUUGCACUUGUGGCCUAUUAAAUGCCAUGGCUCUAGCCGCAGACACAGCUUCAGGCUGCCUUAGAGAUAUUUCAGGAUGUCGCAUACGAAAUCCUCUCAGCCACUCUCGUCCAGCGCUACGAUCUUUAAAUCUAUUUGGAAUGCCAUUUUUAGUGGCAAACUCAUACGCAAGUUUCUUUAUAUCUGUUAUUGUUAUCCCGAACAAUCUAGACUCAAGUAAUAGUAUACGCUCAACUAACUCUCUUUCUUCUUCUUCAUUAAAUGUGGUUGGAAACCGACCCAAAACUUUCUGACAGCCCUUAGCUCUUUUGUUUGUAUCAUUUGCUCUUUGCCUUAAUGUGGCUUGGGGGACAUUGAACAAUUUCGAGGCUUUCAGCCACCCCAUUUGGCCACCUUUUACAGCGUUAAUUGCACUUAGCAUUGCUUGUUCAUCUCACGAUUGUCUAGUUGAUGUUCUUUCACGUUUUCCCACCAUAAUGUAGCUAAAAAUAAACAAAAUAUACAAAAUUCCUUAAAUUUAAAUUAAUUUUAUGUUUGUUUGUAAAAUGACAUAGUAUGCCAUUUUACCUUCAUGCCUAUCUGUGUCGUUUUACCAGCAGUAACAGAUAGUCCUUUGUUAAUGCAGAAUAAUCUUAUUUCAUAUUAAACGAUAUUUCCGCGCACGUGAAUCUGAAGUAUACACUUUUACAUUUAAAUACUAACCCUGGUUUUACUUUAAAAUCAGCACAAUUUCGUAAUAAAAACAGACUUUUAAAACAGCACAUCCAAAAUUUCUACACCGCUAAAAAUAAUUUUUUGAGGUUAUCUUUUACAUAUCAUAAACGUAAAACAAAUAGAGUGCCCACAUGACGGGUAUGUACCGUUAUCAACUGUCAGUACUGAAUUUACUGGACGUCGUUCCGAUAUUUCUUUCAGUUUACUGAUUCAGUACUGAAUGACGUCAUAAAUGCGUCAGUGACGUCAUUAAUCUUUACUGGAUUGACUGGGGAUAAAAGCUACUGUAGGUACAGUAAAAUAGUGGGGGAAUGUCAAAACUGUCAGAAGUGUUGUUGAUGUUGAUUUCUUGAAUCUUCUUGUUUACGUUGUGGGAAUAAUUGUGGUUUUAAAAUGUUUAACAAUAAUAAAAUUUACCACUUAAAAAGCUCUCAUACAACGCUCUCAAAAACCUGUUUGGGCUCUUUCGUAUUCUUCCGGUGUAACUUCAAUGUGGUAUUCAAAAUUAUUUUCUGCGUCUAUUAUUCUUACCAUCUUGAUUUUUCAGUCAUAUUUAUUUUAUUAACAAAUGUGGUCUGGUUUUAAUAAAGCAAAACACCGUACCGGAAAACAAAACAGAAACAGGUAAUUUGGUUUUAUAGGUUAUGUUGUGGUUGUGAAAACAGUGCUGAAAACUGUUCCUUUUUUGGAGCAAAACAGCACGCUGUAUAAAAUCGGAACGACAAAUUACAGUAAAAUCAGCACAGUACAAUCCUGCACUGACAGUUGAAAACGGUACAUACCCGAUAUCUGGUCUUGGUUUGUGACAUGCAAGCAAACUAUUGACUAGAUGGAGAAUAAAUACCGCUGCAGCAGUUGAAGAAUAAAUACCGCUAUGUCACUUUACAAUCUUUACAUGCUAUGUCAUUUUAGGACACCUUCCCCUAUUAUAUAGUCCCUUAUUCACUGGAGUAUUACUUGAAUAAAUUGCAUGAGAAUAAUCUAUCCAAGUUUAACUACUCAUUAAUUUUUAAUUUAUCCAUAAAAAUAUAUUCUCACUCAAACUUCUAGCUACCUAAGAGGUUAAUAAAAUUAUAUUGACAUCAAAAUGGUCUAAAAUAUAAUUUCCCGUAACCGGUCCUCCAAUGUAUGAAAACAUAUCACCGGCGGUGCUUGCAUCGCGCAUCUCACUGCUCCUGUGUACAUAGGAGUAUAAGGGAAAGGAACAGUCGAGUCAAUCCUAGGGCCUUGAAAGCUUGAGCGAUUUACGGAACACUAAAAAACUUCUACUUCCUAAAAUUUAGAUGGCGCUAAGAAUGCAAAACUUCUUAAACUACCGCUUUUACCGACGGUACACGGACUGUCAACUAUCAAAUUAUAUCAUAUAAAAUGCGGCCAUUUUUUAUAGUUCUUUAGCUUGCACAGACUUCUUUUGCUUCUACUGAAAACUUUCAUAAAUGAAAUUUUGCGAAAAAUCUUAACAAAAUUGAUUUGUUCUCAUAUUUCGCACAAAAUUUUUCCAGUUAUUUAGUUCAGUGUGUUGUGUGGCAGCUGUUAUUAGUUUUCAUUUAGAUGUGCUGACACGUGGGAUACAGAAUUUCUAAAAAAACAGUGAAUUAUAUUGGUGUAAAGAACUGAGAUAUAAACAGUAAAAACUUUGAAUCGAAUAUAGAUAUUGGCGACAUUGAAUUUGCAAAAAUAGUUAUUGCAAUAAACUUUUUUUUGUGAAAAUGAGAAAUGCAAAUGUAAAUAACAAAAGUAAGAAAUUGAUUCUAAGAAGAAGCUUUUGUGUUAAAUCUGUGGACAGAUUCUUCAGUCUUGAAACCAUUAAAAUCUCUGUGAUAAACAAUUCUAUGCAUAUGAAAAUUAUCUUACUACAAAUUUAUUCAGGCCCAAUUCAAGCAGGGGCCUUAAACCAGAUGCCAUACCUUCGGUUAAGCUCCCAGAUUUAAUACAAAAUCAUGAUUAUAAGGAACUGACCACUUUUAAUCACAUAAAGCAACAGUCGACAACAGAAUAUGCUGAUGAAUUAAAAGUUAAAAAACUGCACAUAGGUCUUUAGUAAUAUCAUAGGAUCCUAGACGAACAAUAUGGCAAAAUCGGACAUUGGAUUCCAAAAUAAAUGGCGCAGUGAAGCUCAAUAUGGAGCAGAAUUCAUCUUGUUCCUGUAUAGUUCUUGACAGGCUCAAUAUAAAAAAUUACUUAAAAUAUGAUGCCAAACCUGAGAACAGAGCAAUUUCAGCAGUUUCAAUGCAUGAGCAAUUUUGGAUCUUAUACAAAUCAUGGAGUCUAAAAUUAUUAAAGACAAAUAGAAAAAUGAUAACUCCUGAAAAUUUUACUUAUCUUAUUUACUAUUAUUAUUUCUUUCAUUACUUAUUUAGCGGUAGUUAUAUAACCUAUUUAAUCCUAAAACUAUUUUUGACAAAAUCUUUUUUUUUUUGCCGAGUUUUGUUUGGAAUGGUCACCUAAAUAAGUAAUAAUACUUGGUGACCUUUAAAAAGGACAAUAGGUCUAUAUACUACUGUAAUAAAACACUAGACAUAUUUUGA
rnacentral:lncRNA from 1 species